UACGGAGGGUGCGAGCGUUGUCCGGAAUCACUGGGCGUAAAGGGCGCGUAGGCGGCGCGGAUAGUCGGCGGUGAAAGCCCGGAGCUCAACUCCGGGUCGGCCGUCGAUACUUCCGGGCUUGAGCACUGUAGAGGCAGAUGGAAUUCCGGGUGUAGCGGUGGAAUGCGUAGAGAUCCGGAAGAACACCGGUGGCGAAGGCGGUCUGCUGGGCAGUUGCUGACGCUGAUGCGCGACAGCGUGGGGAGCAAACGAGGAUUAGAGUACCC
rnacentral:rRNA from 1 species